UACGAAGGGGGCGAGCGUUGUUCGGAAUUACUGGGCGUAAAGGGUGCGUAGGCGGUUCGUUAAGUCUGUCGUGAAAUCCCCGGGCUCAACCUGGGAAUGGCGAUGGAUACUGGCGAGCUAGAGUGUGUCAGAGGAUGGUGGAAUUCCCGGUGUAGCGGUGAAAUGCGUAGAGAUCGGGAGGAACAUCAGUGGCGAAGGCGGCCAUCUGGGACAACACUGACGCUGAAGCACGAAAGCGUGGGGAGCAAACAGG
rnacentral:rRNA from 1 species